rnacentral:rRNA from 1 species
CAAUAGCGGAGGAAAGAAACCAACAGGGAUUGCCCUAGUAACGGCGAGUGAAGCGGCAACAGCUCAAAUUUGAAAUCUGGCUCCGCUCUGGGGUCCGAGUUGUACUUUGCAGAGGGCGCUUUGGCGUCGGCAGCGGUCUAAGUUCCUUGGAAUAGGACGUCACAGAGGGUGAGAAUCCCGUACGUGGCUGCUUGCCUUCGCCGUGUAAAGCCCCUUCGACGAGUCGUGUUGUUUGGGAAUGCAGCACUAAAUGGGAGGUAAAUUUCUUCUAAAGCUAAAUACCGGCCAGAGACCGAUAGCGCACAAGUAGAGUGAUCGAAAGAUGAAAAGCACUUUGGAAAGAGAGUCAAAAAGCACGUGAAAUUGUUGAAAGGGAAGCGCUUGCAGCCAGACUUGCUUGCGGUUGCUCAUCCGGGCCUGUGCCCGGUGUACUCUUCCGCAGGCAGGCCAGCAUCAGUUUGGGCGACUGGAGAAAGGCCUCUGUCACGUACCUUCCCUCGGGAAGGCCUUAUAGGGGAGGCGUAAUGCAGCCAGUCCAGACUGAGGUCCGCGCAUCUGCUAGGAUGCUGGCGUAAUGGCUGUAAGCGGCCCGUCUUGAAACACGGACCAAGGAGUCUAACAUCUAUGCGAGUGUUUGGGUGUCAAGCCCGAGCGCGUAAUGAAAGUGAACGGAGGUGAGAACCCUCGGGUGCAUCAUCGACCGAUCCUGAUGUCUUCGGAUGGAUUUGAGUAAGAGCAUAGCUGUUGGGACCCGAAAGAUGGUGAACUAUGCUUGAAUAGGGUGAAGCCAGAGGAAACUCUGGUGGAAGCUCGCAGCGGUUCUGACGUGCAAAUCGAUCGUCAAAUUUGGGCAUAGGGGCGAAAGACUAAUCGAACUAUCUAGUAGCU